UCAUAAUCUUACAGUACAAGAUUAUCAGGACCUUAUAGACAGGGGAUGGAGGAGAAGUGGACAGUACUGCUACAAACCCAAAAUGGACACCACAUGUUGUCCCCAUUACACAAUAAAACAGGACGCCCUGAAUUUCAAAAUGAGCAAGUCCCACAAAAAAAUCAUCAAGCAGUUCAACAAGUUUCUCAUCCACGGUAAAAAGAAAGGGGAACAUGACAUGCCGGAGGGGGAGGAGUCAGUAAAAGGGGGCGGGGCUGACCCUGGUAGUAAGGAGGAGACAUCUGUCGAUCACAACUCACCAAAGGAGGACAAAUCAAUGGAAGCAGAGCAGAUAAAGAAAACACCAAAACCAGGGCUCGGGGCAGACCCCACCAAACCUAAGUGUAAGAAAGCUAAAGAUCUGAGGAGAGAGAAAAAACUUGCCAAACAGACAGAAAAGAGACAGACAGAGACACAGGCAGACAAUACAGAGCAGUCGAAACAACAGAAAUCUCAGGAGAAGACACUGGAGGAUUUACUGAGAGAACCGGAGCAGACUGAGAACUGUGCCCACAAACUAGAGGUGAGGUUAGUGCGGGUCAAUCCCCCGUCCUCCGAGUUCCGAAAGUCUCACCGCGAGUCGUACGGCAUCUUCAAGGAGUACCAGAUGAGGAUCCACAAGGAGGAUGAAUGUGACUGCUCCAUGGGACAGUUUGACGACUUUCUGUGCGAGGGACCGCUGGAGGUAGUAACACUGCUGAGACAUGGCACCAAGUCUUAAGCUUUACUUGGGAGAGGGAAAAAAUCUGAAAAGAGGAAUAUAGGGAGGGGGGACCACCCAUGGGGUAUGGGUCGUUUCACCAGCACUACCUGCUGGACGGCCAGAUCAUUGCUGUGGGGGUCAUCGACAUCUUGCCCUCCUGUGUGUCCUCAGUGUACCUUUACUAUGACCCAGACUACGACUUCCUUAGUCUCGGGACCUACUCAGCUCUCAGGGAGAUAGCCUUUGUUCGGGAACUAAACAAGAAGGCCCCAGACCUGAAGUAUUACUACAUGGGCUACUACAUUCAUUCCUGUCCAAAGAUGAGAUACAAGGGCCAGUACUACCCUUCAUUCCUGCUCUGCCCCGAGGUCUUUUCCUGGCACCCUAUAGAGGAAUGCUCACCUAAACUCGACAAGAACAGGUACUCCAGGUUUGCUGAUCCCGAUAAAGAGGAUGAGGGCGGGCGUGUCGACCUGGACAGCGUAAUGAUAUUUACAUAGGCGGAUGGCCAUGACCUACCAACAGUACAAAUUACUGAACCCCAAAACCAAGACCCAACAUGACGACGUGGUCAGGAAAUACGCUGGCUUUGUGGGGCAAAGCUGUGCUACGCGAAUGUUACUGUACAGAAACUAAACUUACUGUACAGAAACUAAACCCACAGUCCAAUUUAACUUAAUUUAUUUUAUAGAUAAGGUUUUAACGUUGAUUACUUAUGUUGUUAAUGAUAAAUACCUACUGGAGAUGAUAAAUACUUCCGGGAGAUGACUUUUCCACCUUGUACAUGUAUCUGUGUGAUAUAGAACAUUCCAGAAGUGUACAACAAGACUUUGUAGACAUAGAAAUGUUUCUUGAUUUGUACAAUGGGUUGGUAUUGCUGACCUCUUUACAGAUCAGGGAAUAUACUUCAAUGAUUAUGUACUUGGAUGUCAAGUAUUAUUUUUUAUAGAUUUAUACAUAAAUUUACAUCCAAUAAGUACUCUCUCUUGUAUUAAGGUAACUCUUUGUUGUCCAUGAUAGGGUGUAAACCCUUUUCUCGAUAAAUCUUUAUAAAAUUGUGCAAGACUUAAAAUCUCUGAAUCAACUCUAUAUUGGAGAUGUGUUAGAGGUCCACAGUGUAUAUAUGAUGAUCUUUCAUCUUUUUUACCACAAAGUGAUAGUAGUUUAUUUCAUCCACUUUAAAUUUGAAUUCUUAAAAAGAUGUUAACAAUAAAAUGCUUACUUCGUUGGUAUGUAGGAAUAUAACAGUUACUGACAUGGGUAAUUCAUUUGUCGGCAAUGCCAUGCAAAUGUUUUAUCCUGUAUUAACUUAUACAGAAAUACAGUGUAGGUAGCAUUUUGUUAUUUAAUUCAAAGGUAUGUUCAGUUUCUUGACUUAUUUUUUACAAUGAAAUUUACCUUUUUGUCACAGCUAUGUCUUAGUGCAAUAAAAAUUAUCAGUGAUC
rnacentral:misc_RNA from 1 species